UACGGUGGGGGCAAGCGUUGUUCGGAAUUACUGGGCGUAAAGGGCGCGUAGGCGGCCUAUUAAGUCGGCCGUGAAAUCCCUCGGCUCAACCGGGGAACUGCGUCCGAUACUGGCAGGCUUGAAUCCGGGAGAGGGAUGUGGAAUUCCAGGUGUAGCGGUGAAAUGCGUAGAUAUCUGGAGGAACACCGGUGGCGAAGGCGGCAUCCUGGACCGGUAUUGACGCUGAGGAGCGAAAGCCAGGGGAGCAAACGAG
rnacentral:rRNA from 1 species